rnacentral:rRNA from 1 species
GAUGAACGCUGGCGGCGUGCCUAAUACAUGCAAGUCGAGCGAACGGACGAGAAGCUUGCUUCUCUGAUGUUAGCGGCGGACGGGUGAGUAACACGUGGAUAACCUACCUAUAAGACUGGGAUAACUUCGGGAAACCGGAGCUAAUACCGGAUAAUAUUUUGAACCGCAUGGUUCAAAAGUGAAAGACGGUCUUGCUGUCACUUAUAGAUGGAUCCGCGCUGCAUUAGCUAGUUGGUAAGGUAACGGCUUACCAAGGCAACGAUGCAUAGCCGACCUGAGAGGGUGAUCGGCCACACUGGAACUGAGACACGGACCAGACUCCUACGGGAGGCAGCAGUAGGGAAUCUUCCGCAAUGGGCGAGAGCCUGACGGAGCAACGCCGCGUGAGUGAUGAAGGUCUUCGGAUCGUAAAACUCUGUUAUUAGGGAAGAACAUAUGUGUAAGUAACUGUGCACAUCUUGACGGUACCUAAUCAGAAAGCCACGGCUAACUACGUG